AGAACAUCCAGGCCUGGAAGACAAGCUGAGGGGUGGAUAGAACUGUGUGGGGAGGAGUCUGGUGCUGACUGGUGAAUUCAGAAGCAGGAAAGAGGGACAGAGUGGAUUUUACAACCAGAAUAAAGCUGGGAAAUGCCCCCGUGAAUGGAGCCAAAGAAAGGUUGGAGUUUGGGGUAUGGUGUGUAUUUGAAGAUUCAAACUCCACGUGGUCUUCAGGAGCUCAAACACUCUCACACAGAACAGAAAGGAAGUCUCCAAAACGAAUGUGAAAUUGACAAAUCACCGCACUGCUUCAGGACCCCAGCCCAUGGAAUGCUGUGAUCAACAUUCAGAGUCGAUCAUCCUACAUCAAUUACCCUAAUCUAGGAAAUCCCACAGAGCCAGGACCAAAGAACGUAAAACAAAAACAAACAAAACCCAGCCUGUGAACAUUAGCAAUAGCACAGUACCUGAGACUACACAGAAGCCUGGGAAAGUCACCUGUGAAUGCUGAUGCUCUACAGCAUCACCAUGGUAGAGAAACUACAAAAGAAGCUUUUGAUUCUGAAGCUGAGCCUGAUCCUCCUAACACAGAACCUGGCUUUUUCAACAGGGACCACUUUCCACUGGGUGUCCCAGUGCCUAUCACACUUUAGUAGGACUUGAGGACAAAUCGUGUCUUGUUCUUGGAAGAAGCAUCCUGGCUAAGUGGCUCUGUAUUUCUGUCAUUCAGCACAAUUCUUUAGAAGUCUGAUCUGAACAAGUAGCAAUAUCCUAACAGUUGAGAACAAUGAUAGAUGACCAGCAAUAGAAUCUUAGCUGCUGGAUAUUUCAUUUGUGUGGAUGCAGAAUGUAGCACAGAUUUACUAAGGAAAAGAAUUUCCUACGCC
rnacentral:lncRNA from 1 species